ensembl:snRNA U6 U6 spliceosomal RNA
AUGCUGGCUUCUGCAGCACAUACACUAGAAUCGGAACUAUACAGAGAAGGUUAGCAUGGCCCCUGCGCAAGGAUAACAUGCAGGUUCUUGAAGCAUGCCAUGUUUUU